rnacentral:lncRNA from 1 species
CUUCAAACAUAACACACUUGAAAUCCAGCUCCUAAUCAGCCCCCCAAUCUGCCCCACCCUGUGUGUUAGCUUUGUCCUUCCAGGUGAUAAGGCCAAAAGAAGUCAUGUGGAUUCCUAUUCCCGCCACAGGCCAUCACAUCAACCCAGUGGCCACACCAACCCAGCAGCAAAUCUUAUCAGCUUUGCCUUUAUUUUUAUUUUAUUUAUUUAUUUGUUUUUGAGACGGAGUUUCGCUCUUGUUGCCCAGGCUGGAGCGCAAUGGCGCGAUCUCGGCUCACUGCAACCUCCACCUCCCAGGUUCAAGCAAUUCUCCUGCCUCAGCCUCCCGAGUAGCUGAGAUUACAGGCAUGCACCACUACGCCCGGCUAAUUUUGUAUUUUUAGUAGAGACGGGGUUUCUCCAUGUUGGGGCUGGUCUCGAACUCCUGACCUCAGGUGAUCCGCCCGCCUCAGCCUCCCAAAGUGCUGGGAUUACAGGCGUGAGCCACCGCGCCCGGCCGAGAUUUGCCUUUAUUUUUAUUUUAUUUUUGAGACGGAAUUUAACUCUUGUCACCAGGCUGGAUUGCAAUGGCAUGAUCUUGGCUCACUGCAACCUUCGCCUCCCGGGUUCAAGUGAUUCUCCUGCCUCAGCCUCCCAGGUAGCUUGGAUUACAGGCGCCCACUACACCCAGCUAAUUUUUGUAUUUUUAGUAGAGACAGGGUUUCACCAUGUUGGCCAGCCAAAGUGCUGGGAUCACAGGCGUGAGCCACCGUGCCCUGCCAGCUUUGCCUUUAAAUCGUAUCUAGAAUCCAACCAUUUCUCACUCCUCCAGGACCCCAGCCUGGCCAGAGCCCUCACUAUCACCCACCCACCCACCUGGACUACCAACCAGGUCUUCAAGCUCUGGCCCUGGCCUCCUAAGCCUGUUUCUCCCAGAGUGGCCACCAGAGGGCGCCUAUGAACACCCGAGCCAGGUCACAUCCCUCCUUUGCUUAGACUCUUCCGUGGCUCCCACAGCACUUAGAAUAAAAGUUAAAGUAUUCUCUGCAGCCCACAAGUCCCUGAAUAAUCUCCCCACCCUCAUCUGCUUUCUUUUUCUUUUUCUUUUUUUUUGAGACAGAGUCUCGCUGUAUCGCCCAGGCUGGAGUGCCAGUGGAGCCAUCUCGGCUCACUGCAAGCAAGCUCCGCCUCCCGGGUUCACGCCAUUCUCCUGCCUCAGCCUCCCGAGUAGCUGGGACCACAGGCACCCGCCACCACGCCUGGCUAAUUUUUUUGUAUUUUUAUUUUUAUUUAUUAUUAUUAUUUUUUUGAGACGGAGUUUUGCUCUUGUUGCCCAGGCUGGAGUGCAAUGGCAUGAUCUCAGCUCACCACAACCUCCGCCUCCCAGAUUCAUGCGAUUCUUGUGCCUCAGCCUCCAGAGUGACUGGGAUUACAGGCGUAUGCCACCACAUCCGGCUAAUUUUGUAUUUUUUUUUUAGUAGAGACGGCGUUUCUCCAUGUUGGUCAGGCUGGUCUCAAACUUCUGACCUCACGUGAUCCGCCCGUCUCAGCCUCCCAAAGUGCUGUGAUUACAGGCGUGAGCCACUGUGCCCGGCCGCAUUUUUUUGUAUUUUUAGUAGUGACGGGUUUCACCGUGUUAGCCAGGAUGGUCUCGAUCUCCUGACCUCGUGAUCUGCCUGCCUCUGCCUCCCAAACUGCUGUGAUUACAGGCGUGAGCCACUGCACCCGGCCUUCUGCUUUCCUUUUAUUUUUUGAGAUGGAGUCUUGCUCUAUCGCCCAGGCUGGAGUGCAGUGACACAAUCUCGGCUCGCUGCAACCUCCGCCUCCCGGGUUCAUUCUCCUGCCUCAGCCUCCCGAGUAGCUGGGACUACAGGCACCUGCCACCACGCCCGGCUAAUUUUUUUGUAUUUUUAGUAGAGACAGGGUUUCACCAUGUUAGCCAGGAUGGUCUCAAUCUCCUGACCUUGUGAUCCGCCAGCCUCAGCCUCCUAAAGUGCUGGGAUUACAGGCAUGAGCGUGAGCCACCACGCCCGGCCUUCUGCUUUCUUAUUCACUCCACUCCAGCCACUCUGGUCCCCUUACUGUCCCUCCAGCACACCAAGCGAGGUGUCAUCUCAGGGCCUUUGUGCAAACUGUUCUGCCUGGAUCUUCCCCAGGUACUUACAUGGCCUCUCCCUCACCUCCUUCAGGUAUCUGCUUCAAUAAUGUCACUUCCUUGGUGAGGCCUCCUUUCUGGGCCUUUUUAUUCUUUUUUUUUUUCGAUGGGGUCUCACUCUUGUUGCCCAGGCUGCAGCAAGCUAUGAUUGUUCCACAGUGGUGGCUCACUCUGGUAACUCUGGGCACCAAGGGCAGAUUGAACGCCUUUAUUUUUCUCAAAUAUAAAAUCAGAGUCUCCUGAGGCAGCACAUGAACUCCAGAGAGAGAAUCAACAACAAGAAUCACAUUGCU